rfam:Schistosoma mansoni strain Puerto Rico chromosome 4, complete genome
GCACGGCUGAGGAGUCCCACCAUAGGACGAACCGACCGUCCAGUGC